rnacentral:rRNA from 1 species
AUGGCAAAUCCUACACAAGGUCGUUCCUCUUCCAUCCUCCCAGCAUCUGGACGGCAGGCACCUCAACAGGCCGUCCUCCUCUGGGCUGCUCCACAGUUCGUCUCAAAGUGUGGGCUGCACGUGCUGCAUCAUGGAAGAAGAAAGCCUCCUCGCCGCAGCUUGGCCUGCUCAGCCUCCAGGCUUCCUUCCACCGAACCACCCUAUGUUGAGGAGAUGUUGGCACGAGAAAAUAUAAGGACGCGCAACACGGAACGGAAGGCUAGAAUACAAAAACAUCUGGAAAAACCUGAAUUCUCGCCAUCUGCAUAUGACACAGCAUGGGUGGCUAUGGUGCCAUUGCCAGACACCGAUCGGCAGGCUCCAUGCUUCCCUCAGUGUGUUGAAUGGAUAUUGCAAAAUCAACACUGUAGUGGUUCUUGGGGUAUCAACCAAUUCGGCUUAUUAGCAAACAAGGAUAUUCUGUUAUCAACGUUGGCUUGUAUCAUUGCACUUAAGAAAUGGAACGUUGGCUCCGACCACAUAAGUAGAGGAUUAGAAUUUAUUGGAAGGAAUAUCUCCACUGUAAUGGAUAAGCAGAUUGUUUCUCCUAUAGGCUUCAAUCUCAUUUUCCCUGGUAUGUUUAACCAUGCUAUCAGGAUGGGUUUGGAAUUUCCAGUCAGAGAAACUGAUAUCAGUGGGAUACUUCACCUUUGUGAGAUGGAGCUGAGAAGAUUGGCUGGUGAGGAAUCUAAUGGGAAAGAAGCAUAUCUUGCCUUUGUUGCUGAAGAAGGGUUGGUAAGCCUGCUGGACCGCAAUGAAGUUAUGAACUUCCAGAGAAAGAAUGGGUCGUUGUUCAACUCUCCUGCCGCAACGGCCGCUGUAUUAGUCCACCGCUAUGAUGAUAAAGCUCUCCAAUACCUCAAUUCCAUUGUCAGUAUAUUUGGCAGUACGGUACCAACAGUGUACCCACAGAAUAUAUAUUAUCAGCUCUCAAUGGUGGAUAUGCUCGAAAAGAUCGGAAUAACUCGGCACUUUUCCAGUGAGAUAAACAGUAUCCUGGACAAGGCGUACAUUUCCUGGUUACAGAGAGAUGAGGAAAUAAUCCAAGAUGCAGAAACAUGUGCAAUGGCGUUUCGACUUUUACGGAUGAAUGGAUAUGAUGUUUCGUCAGAUGAGUUGUCCAAUGUUUCUCAAGCCUCCACUUUCCAUGACUCAAUGGAAGGAUAUUUAAAUCAAACAAAAUCUUUAUUAGAGUUAUACAAGGCUUCAAAACUAUGUUUGUCAGAAAAUGAAUUGAUCCUGGAGAACAUAAGUAACUGGUCAGGCCGCUUAUUGACAGAAAAGUUGUGCUGUAGUGGGACAAAAAGAACGCCAAUUCUUGGAGAGGUAGAAUAUACUCUUAAAUUUCCAUUUUAUGCAACUGUGGAAGCUCUAGACCGUAAGAGGAACAUUGAACAUUUUGACUCUAGGGUUUCUCAGCAGCUAAAGACAAAAAACUUGCUGUGUCAUGUUAAUCAAGAUAUUCUAGAUUUUGCCAUUGAAGAUUUCAGUAUUUCUCAAUCUAUAUACCAGGAUGAACUCAGCCACCUCGAGAGGUGGGAGAAAGAAAACAGGCUGCACCAGCUAAGAUUUCUACGCAAGGGGAGUCUGAUAAAUUGUUAUCUCUCUGCUGCUGCAACCAUAUCCGCUCAUGAAUUCUCUGAUGCUCGCAUUGCAUGUGCGAAAGCUAUUGCACUCGUACUUGUUACUGAUGACUUCUUUGAUGUUGGAGCAUCCAAGGAAGAACAAGAAAACCUCAUAGCAUUAGUAGAGAAGUGGGAUCACCAUCACAAAGUUGAGUUCUACUCCGAGCAAGUAGAAGUAGUAUUUUCUGCUUUUUAUACCACAGUUAAUCAGCUUGGAGAAAUGGCUUCCGCAGUACAAAACUGCGAUGUUACAAAGCACUUGGAUGAAACAUGGCUACAUUACAUGAGGUCUGUGGCAACCGAGGCAAAAUGGCAACGGAAUCAAUAUGUGCCAACAGUUGAGGAAUACAUGACAGACGCGCUUACCUCAUACGGGAUGGGCCCGAUUAUGCUCACAUCACUGUAUUUUGUCCAAAACAAACUUAUGAAGCACAUUAUCAAAGACCCGGAGUACAGUGAGUUGCUUAGACUAAUGGGUACAUGUGGCCGUCUCUUGAAUGAUACUCAAGGCUUUGAGAGGGAAUCCAGAGACGGAAAACUGAACAUCAUCUCACUGCUUGUUCUUCAGAGUGGAGGUUCCAUGUCCAUAGAAGCUGCUCAAGAGGCGACACAGGAGUCUGUAGCCUCAUGUCGGAGAGACCUGCUAAGGAUGGUUGUCAGAGAAGACCGUGUUGUUCCUAGACCAUGCAAGGAGGUGUUCUGGAGGUUUUGUAAGACAGCUCACUUGUUCUACUGUCACACCGACGGAUUUUCCUCCCCCAAGGAAAUGCUCCACGCGAUGAAUGCAAUAUUUAGAGAGCCACUUAAACUUCAAACUAGCAGUCCGUUGGCUGUUCAAUCAGAAGAAUAA